UACGAAGGGGGCUAGCGUUGUUCGGAAUUACUGGGCGUAAAGCGCACGUAGGCGGAUGUUUAAGUUAGGGGUGAAAUCCCAGGGCUCAACCCUGGAACUGCCUCUAAUACUGGGCAUCUAGAGUCCGAGAGAGGUGAGUGGAAUUCCGAGUGUAGAGGUGAAAUUCGUAGAUAUUCGGAGGAACACCAGUGGCGAAGGCGGCUCACUGGCUCGGUACUGACGCUGAGGUGCGAAAGCGUGGGGAGCAAACAGGG
rnacentral:rRNA from 1 species